CCUACGGGAUGCACCAGUCGAGAAUCUUCGGCAAUGGACGAAAGUCUGACCGAGCGACGCCGCGUGCGGGAUGAAGGCCCUCGGGUUGUAAACCGCUGUCAGUUGGGAGGAAAUGCUAUGGGGUUCUCCCCAUAGCUUGACCGAUCUUCAGAGGAAGGACGGGCUAAGUUCGUGCCAGCAGCCGCGGUAAGACGAACCGUCCAAACGUUAUUCGGUAUCACUGGGCUUAAAGCGUGCGUAGGCGGCCUGGUAGGUGAGAUGUGAAAGCCCACGGCUCAACCGUGGAAUUGCGUUUCAAACCACCAGGCUCGAGGAUGGCAGGGGUGAUGGGAACUGAUGGUGGAGCGGUGAAAUGCGUUGAUAUCAUCAGGAACACCGGUGGCGAAGGCGCAUCACUGGGCCAUUUCUGACGCUGAGGCACGAAAGCUAGGGUAGCGAACGGGAUUAGAUACCCGUGUAGUC
rnacentral:rRNA from 1 species